CAUCCUCCAAGGCUAAAUACUCCUGACUGACCGAUAGUGAACCAGUACCGUGAGGGAAAGGCGAAAAGAACCCCGGCGAGGGGAGUGAAAAAGAACCUGAAACCGUGUACGUACAAGCAGUGGGAGCACGCUUAGGCGUGUGACUGCGUACCUUUUGUAUAAUGGGUCAGCGACUUAUAUUCUGUAGCAAGGUUAACCGAAUAGGGGAGCCGAAGGGAAACCGAGUCUUAACUGGGCGUUAAGUUGCAGGGUAUAGACCCGAAACC
rnacentral:rRNA from 1 species